UACGGGGGGAGCAAGCGUUGUUCGGAUUUACUGGGCGUAAAGGGCGCGUAGGCGGUCAGCACAAGUCAGUUGUGAAAUCUCCGGGCUUAACUCGGAAAGGUCAACUGAUACUGUGCGACUAGAGUGCAGAAGGGGCAACUGGAAUUCUCGGUGUAGCGGUGAAAUGCGUAGAUAUCGGGAGGAACACCAGUGGCGAAGGCGGGCAUCUGGGCCAACACUGACGCUGAGGCGCGAAAGCUAGGGGAGCAAACAGG
rnacentral:rRNA from 1 species